GAGGUCCCACUUAAAAGAGACUCACCUGAAUCUCGAGAAGUUUGCCGAUGCUGAGGACGCGCUGCUGGCUGGAUUCCUGCAGGUUCAUUGCUACAGAAGAUUUAGCUCCAACAACUUUAGUAUUUUUCACUAAGAGGGUGUUCCGACUGGUGGGAGGUCUGGAGGUCACCGGAAAGAAGAGGACCAUUUGUGUUUCUUUUCCGUGUGGCAGUGGGGGCCUUUAGGUUGCCACUGGGUGGUGCCAGUGCCCAUUUAACUGCUAUCGAACUUCGCAGCUCAUCUGCUGGAUUGUUCAAGUGGAUCGAUUUCACUUGUGAAGGGGACAAGUGACGGUUCGUAUGUGCUCACUGAAAUCCUUGCAGUGGCGCUCAAGAUCUUAUUAUCUUUAAGUUCUGAUGUCUGCAAUCAUGCCCUAAGUACUAUUCAAAAUCAUCAUGUAGCUUCUACAUCCCUAACCAAAUCAAGUCUUUCAGUUUGGUGUUGACCAAUGACAUGACUAUUUGGUCAGAUGAGCUGGGGAAACUUGAGCAUCUCGAGCAAUGGGAAGAUUACUUGCGGUACUAUUUCUCCCUAAGAGCGGAUUAGGAUGUUUCUGAUCCCCUACGUGCCUUUCCAGUUGACAAAACAGGGUUAUUCUCCAGGCUGAGAAAAUUCCACACUUCGAACAGUUGAAAUUUCCAAGAAAUUAAUGACACCUGGACUGGCGGCAGCAGCAACGCCUCGAAAGCUGAACUAGGUGUUGGGAGUAUUUAUUAAAAGAUUCUAAAAGUUCAUGCAAGAAAGGAGACAUGCACAAGCAACUGCCGAACCCGUACACACUUCAACAGAAUGGUGUCUCUGAACGCAAAAACCAACCUACGCUUGAUGGAGCUCGAAGUUCGCUUUUCAGCAUCAACGCUCUUCGGACUAGUCACAGGACACAACGGUUCAUGUCUGAAUAAGGCCGUCACCACAAUCAAAAACUGGCCAAACACCAGGGAAUUUUUCUCAUAAUAUUCUUGACCUAUGUUUAUGGUACUUUAUGUAGCUCAAAGCUGACACGCUGUAAGCGUUGACAAAUGUUCAGGAUGAACAGAAAUUGUGUUAUUUAUGUUCUGAUGCUUUUCUUGGGAAGCACAUGACAAGAACACGGCCGUGGAUGUAGGUGUGGCAAGGGGUUCGCGCGCGAUGUUUACCCAUACCACCUCGUUGACUUUUUGGACAGGUUGUUUCACUGCCAAAAUUUGUUCGACACAAUUGCCGUUGAUCACUGGCGCUGUUAUAACUUUAGGCUCUGGUUUCAAAUUGCAGGAACUAUUAUAGGAGCCACCACUUGGUAUUAUUAUUAUUUCAUGAGUUAGGUUGUAUUACGAGUCACGAACUUCAGUACACACAAAAAUCCAAUCCAGUGCACAAACACUCACAAUCCAGAAACGAAGUUACUGCACCGCUGCGGAUAGCAUCGUAACCUUGAUAUGAAUUUUACGGGGUUUAUCGUUGCUAUUGCUGUUCCAAAUGCAACCUUCCAGAUUUUCAACUUCUCAGUGGACGUUUCAAUCACUCCAAAGGCGCGUUCAAUUUGCACUGCUCGGUCCAUAAGGCAGUGCAAUCUGGGUGUAGCCUUUCUGCUCACAAAGAUCAGGUUCUAGGUUUGACUUGCAUUGCUAUUUCCGGGAAUCAAGAGGAGGAAUCUUCGCAUCUGCCAACUGAAUGGCAGCCCCAAUCAUCAUUGUAGCAUCCAUAUCGCUACAUCCACGACGUUGUUCUCUGGGUGCUUCACCAUCCUGGGUUCUGCCCGUGUUGGGGUCGCCAAGGCUUUCGUUCCAAUAGCGAAUCUGGCGGGAUGACUUCCUUGUCAAGAAUCCGAAUUAGUCACGUGCAGGUGAAUCAACUGUACUAGUCAGCCUUAAAUGUCAUGCCUGUUGGGUUGUGUUGUGCACAAGCAACAGAUGGGCAGUGGACUAAAAGUAGCACUGCUCGAAGCCCUGAUCUGAUAGAAAUUUGGUGAGAAUGUACCCAAGUCCAGUACCAUAAUCGUUCUGCUAAUUUUUAAGAAUGAGAGAUAGUAAUACCUCAUAGAUGGAUAUCUCUGUCAAAGGUUUGCAUCACACAGUCCACUGCAAUGUACUUGUUCGCCGGAAAAGCAAAAUUAUGCGUUUGAUUC